GUGGGGAAUAUUGGACAAUGGGCGCAAGCCUGAUCCAGCCAUGCCGCGUGAGUGAUGACGGCCUUAGGGUUGUAAAGCUCUUUCGCACGCGACGAUAAUGACGGUAGCGUGAGAAGAAGCCCCGGCUAACUUCGUGCCAGCAGCCGCGGUAAUACGAAGGGGGCUAGCGUUGUUCGGAAUCACUGGGCGUAAAGGGUGCGUAGGCGGAUUCUUAAGUCAGGGGUGAAAUCCCGAGGCUCAACCUCGGAACUGCCUUUGAUACUGGGGAUCUUGAGUCCGGAAGAGGUGAGUGGAACUGCGAGUGUAGAGGUGAAAUUCGUAGAUAUUCGCAAGAACACCGGUGGCGAAGGCGGCUCACUGGUCCGGAACUGACGCUGAGGCACGACAGCGUGGGGAGCAAACAGGAUUAGAUACCCUGGUAGUCC
rnacentral:rRNA from 1 species